rnacentral:rRNA from 1 species
GAUGAACGCUGGCGGCGUGCCUAAUACAUGCAAGUCGAGCGAACGGACGAGAAGCUUGCUUCUCUGAUGUUAGCGGCGGACGGGUGAGUAACACGUGGAUAACCUACCUAUAAGACUGGGAUAACUUCGGGAAACCGGAGCUAAUACCGGAUAAUAUUUUGAACCGCAUGGUUCAAAAGUGAAAGACGGUCUUGCUGUCACUUAUAGAUGGAUCCGCGCUGCAUUAGCUAGUUGGUAAGGUAACGGCUUACCAAGGCAACGAUGCAUAGCCGACCUGAGAGGGUGAUAGGCCACACUGGAACGGUGACACGGUCCAGACUCCUACGGGAGGCAGCAGUAGGGAAUCUUACGCAAUGGGCGAAAGCCUGACGGAGCAAAGCCGCGUGAGUGAUGAAGGUCUUCGGAUCGUAAAACUCUGUUAUUAGGGAAGAACAUAUGUGUAAGUAACUGUGCACAUCUUGACGGUACCUAAUCAGAAAGCCACGGCUAACUACGUG